AACGGCUCAUUAAAUCAGUCUUGGUUUAUUUGGUCCUUGCGAGAGCUAACGUGGAUAACUGUGGCAAUUCCAGAGCUAAUACAUGCGACCGAGCGCCGACUCCGGGAGGCGCGCUUUUAUUGGUUCGAACCCGACCGGGCCUUCGCGGGCCCGUCUCUUUCGAUGACUCUGGAUAACCACGCGGAUCGCACGCCUUCGCGGCGGCGACCUACCAUUCAAGUGUCUGACCUAUCAACUUUCGAAGGUAGGCUACGGGCUUACCUUUGUGAUAACGGGUGACGGGGAAUCAGGGUUCGAUUCCGGAGAGGGAGCCUGAGAAACGGCUACCACAUCCAAGGAAGGCAGCAGGCGCGCAAAUUACCCAUUCCCGACACGGGGAGGUAGUGACGAAAAAUACCGAUGCGGGACUCUAACGAGGCCCCGCAAUCGGAAUGAGUACAUUCUAAAACUCUUGUCGAGUAUCCAUCGGAGGGCAAGUCUGGUGCCAGCAGCCGCGGUAAUUCCAGCUCCGAAAGUGUAUGCUAAAGUUGUUGCGGUUGAAAAGCUCGUAGUUGGAUGAAGAGCGCGCGGCGCCGGUCCGUCCGUCGAAGGGCGUGCACCGGCGUCGAGAGUUCCGCCUGUCGGCGCUUCCCGGGUGUUCUUGAUCGGGUGCACGGGGUGACCGACGAGUUUACUUUGAAAAAAUUAGAGUGUUCAAAGCAGGUUUUUCGCCUGCAUAGUGUUGCAUGGAAUAAUGGAAUAAGACCUCGGUCUCGUUUCGUUGGCGUUCGCGAGUGCGAGGUAAUGAUUGAGAGGGACAGCCGGGGGCGUCC
rnacentral:rRNA from 1 species